GAAACGGCUACCACAUCUAAGGAAGGCAGCAGGCGCGCAAAUUACCCAAUUCUAACAGCAUAAGAGAGGUAGUGACAAGAAAUAACAAUACAAGGCAAUUAAAAUGCUUUGUAAUUGGAAUGAUAGAAAUUUAAACACUUUUUAAAGUAUCAAUUGGAGGGCAAGUCUGGUGCCAGCAGCCGCGGUAAUUCCAGCUCCAAUAGCGUAUAUUAAAAUUGUUGCAGUUAAAAAGCUCGUAGUUGAAUUUCUGCUAAGAAUAACCGGUCUGCUUUUAAUAAAAGUGGUAUCUUGGUGUGUUUUUAGCAAUAAUGUCCUUUGAAAUGCUUUUUUACUUUAUUGUAAAAAGCAAUAUUCAGGAUUUUUACUUUGAGAAAAUUAGAGUGUUUCAAGCAGGCUUAUGUUUUGAAUACUGCAGCAUGGAAUAAUAAAAUAGGAUUUUAGUUCUACUUUAUUGGUUUUAAGAACUAAAUUA
rnacentral:rRNA from 1 species